UGUGUGUGUGUGUGUGUGUGUGUGUAAGAAAUGAAUCCACUUUAAAGAUUAGAUAUCUAUGAGUUAUUAAGUGUUUAGCAGCCAUGUUGCUCGCGUGGGUCAAGGCGUGCGGUGCCUUCAUAUCCUUCAAUUUCGGUGACCCUGGAUAACUGUCAGUACGAUCGCAAGGGAUAGGAUCGACCAGUCUAUCAACUCGAGUCCGUCCUAUCAACUGUCGACGGACCGCUAAGUACCGCCCGUGGUGGCAAAAGGUAACGGGGAGUCAGAGUUCGAUUCCGGAGCAGAAGCGUGUGAAACGGCUACUAUAUGCAAGGAAGGUUUCAGGCACACAAAUUAGGCACUCCUGGCACAGGAAGAUAGUGAUAAAAA
rfam:Octopus bimaculoides Scaffold22895_contig_20, whole genome shotgun sequence.